CAGUGUGUUUUGCUGGAGACUGAAACCCUGUGAAGCAGUCCCCGUGGUAGAGGGAAGAUGUGUUGGAGUGUGCCCCAGGGAAAGGAGAGCAAUGGUAAACACGUCCCAGUGGCUCUGGAAAGAAGGCAGGCACCCUUGGAUCCAAGCAGAACAGGUGUUGAAAUUUGGCACGAUACGGCACAACAGGAUGAGCUGGGUGACCACCUGGAUGAAGUCGAAAUACUGGCAUCUGCAUUAACCAGAUGGGAGUCUGCUCUCCUCUACUGUCAGGAGAUGGACAGAUGACUUCCACCUGGAUGAACUUGAAGGGGUGUCACAGCCAACCUCCAGAGAGGUAGAGAGAGGCAUCGUGCAGGUGA